ACGAACGCUGGCGGCGUGCCUAAUACAUGCAAGUCGAGCGGACUGAUUAAGAGCUUGCUCUUAUGACGUUAGCGGCGGACGGGUGAGUAACACGUGGGCAACCUGCCCUGUAGAUCGGGAUAACACCGAGAAAUCGGUGCUAAUACCGGGUAAUAUCUGAGAUCACAUGAUCUUAGGUUAAAAGAUGGCUCCGGCUAUCACUACAGGAUGGGCCCGCGGCGCAUUAGCUAGUUGGUAAGGUAAUGGCUUACCAAGGCGACGAUGCGUAGCCGACCUGAGAGGGUGAUCGGCCACACUGGGACUGAGACACGGCCCAGACUCCUACGGGAGGCAGCAGUAGGGAAUCUUCCGCAAUGGACGAAAGUCUGACGGAGCAACGCCGCGUGAGUGAUGAAGGGUUGCGGCUCGUAAAGCUCUGUUGUUAGGGAAGAAACAGUACCGAACGAACUAGGUCGGUACCUUGACGGUACCUAACCAGAAAGCCACGGCUAACUACGUG
rnacentral:rRNA from 1 species